UAAAUAAGUAUGGGAAUAGACUGCUCACUGAAAUGAGCUGUGCUUGCACACACCACUACUGGUUUUUAAGAACAGCCAAAAUGAGUUGAGAAAUGAGAUUUCUGAGCUGCAUUAUGCAUGCAGCUGUUCUGCUGGCUGAUUUGAUUUGCCUCGAGCCUCUACGUUAAUUAUAACGAUAAAGAUAAAACUUGCCAGCAAUCUUAAAAAUAGAUGCUACUACCCUACCUUUAAUCAAACACAGCAUCCACAGCCAAAUGCCAUUUAACAACACCAACCGUGGCCACGGCUUUGAUUCUUAGAGCAGCCAUUUAUCCUUUGGUUUUGUUCUGUUUGGAUUCAGCUUAGUAAAGACAGAAUAGAAAGCACUCAUUCCUGUUGCAAAAGGCUUCCGAAAGGACUGGGCUGAAAAUGUUUGCAUGCCGUAAGAAGGCACGCAAGGCUUUCAAGCAAACCGGAUUUCGUUCCGCUCCGUUCCGUUCCGCGCUCUCCCGCGGCUCUCAGUCGCCCCCUGCCGGCCGCUGGCGGCCGCUCGCUUCCCGGAGCGGCGUCACGCUGCUGGUGGCGUCAUGCAUAGCAUAGAGCUGCGGCGGCAGCCGGAUGGAACGAGCGGAGUCCGUGUUUUCCAAGUGCAGUAAUGCAGCUGGUUCAGCUGGUCGUAAGGAAGAUAAUUCUGCGUUUAGUAAUAGUGCCGCAAUAGCGCAUUUUCUUGACGUAACUCUUGGCUGUACGUUUCUUAGAGCCUGGAUUUGCCAAGAGUGCCUGCUGCACAGAGCCCACUCCUAUCGCGUGCUGAAGUGACCAGAUGAGCUAACACAGAACUUGGGCCUUUCUUCCUCUAUCGUUUACACAAAUAUACUCACUUCUGUUCCAACUCCUCACAACUUCGGCUAUGCAAUCCUUGAGACAGAAAGUACAACAAGGAAGAUCCUAAGCACAAAAAAAUCCUUGGCUUUCCUGCCCCCGAGGGAGAGGAACAUUACAGGAAAGAAUGCAUCAGGAGUGGACGACUAGUGAAUGAGGCUCUGCUUGGAUCCCAUCUGGAAAUGGCUAUCUGUAUUAUAUGGAGCUUGAAAUGUAUCGUGUGCAAGUAGGGUUCUAAAAGCUUCAUUUGGAACCCAAAUCUGAAAGCAUCCUGGUGGGUUUUUUUGGGUUUUUUGGGUUUUUUUUUGUUUUUUGUUUUUAAUGCUGAAUGUUUCUAAUUUGUUUGUUUUAAUUGGAACUGCAAAAACCCGAGACUUCCAAUUGUAUGCAAACCUGCCCUAACCUGACACCUUUUAUGAGCUUAAAAAAAAAUAUCAGAGGAAUGUAUGCUUCUACCAGAGCCUGCCACCAAAGCGUGGAAACAUCCUGCCAACAUGUUUACUCACUGCUGUAAUGAACACAUGCAAGAUUAGAAAGUUUGUUUAGGUAUUACUGGAAACCUUUUUCCAUCACAAUCCUUUCAGCUGUUUCACAAGGACUGAGCAGGAAAUUCGGCCUUUAGGCUCAUGCAUAAGGUACGUGUAGUGGUGAGAGAAGACUUAACAGUGCCAAGCUGUAACCCAGGGAGCUGCCUAGUGAGUGCACUGUGGGUCACUAGCAGACUAAGGUACAGGAACUUGCAAUGACAUGAACAACAGAGGGAAUUAAGAGUCACAGCCUAAAUUGGCUCUUUUGUCAGUGUCAUGUAAUGUGCUUGGGAUAGUUUGCCUGCGUAUGGCACAACUGCUAUAUAAUUGCAAACAUCAAGAAAUGAGUAUGUAGACUUAGGUGGGUUGGGAUGGCUGUAACAUAAAUCUGAGGCAGGGAAGGAGCUGCAGCCCAGCGAUGCAGAGAGUGAAUUUCUCUGCUCUAUAAAACACAUCCUGUGAUUUCCUAUUCGUGUAUUGCUUCUUAGUGUAGUCAAGCACAAACUAUUUAAGGCAGGGAUUCACUGUGCGUGCAAUUGUAUGUUAUGUAAUAAUGAUGAUGUGUCUAAUUGCUAUUGUAAAAAAAAAGUAUAAUAAUAAUAAUGGCUAUGAUUUCUGCCUUCCAAAGUAGUGCGUAUUUUCUUUGUAGUAAUCAGGGACUUGUUGCUAGGCAGUUAAUAUUUAAGGUACCUUAAAUAUUUUAAUGCGUCUAUGCCUGCUGUUUCUAGGCACCAAUAUUUGUUUAUGUUAUCAUUAUACAACCCUUUCUACCUUAUAUCCUUUGUUCAGUCUAAUCUAAUGGAUCCACACAAUGAAAUUUCAAUCACACUUUUUUUUUUCACAGAUAGCAGAUUUACUUUACUGUUGAGAAUGAUAAAAUUCCUCUGACGCAGAUUUGUUCUUUGUCAGGAUGUUUUGCACUAAUACCAUUUACUCUUUCUUUGCACAGUCCUCCUCCCAGGUGAGUUCUGUCUUUGUGAUGGCUUGGUGUGCAGGCAUGUAGUAAUUUUAAAGGUUUGAAUUUAAUGGUUGAGAAUCAAGAUUCAAGAUCAGCUUUAAUUGUAGUAAACUAGGAGUUGAAAUACAGACUUUUUUUGACCAAGCUCUAAAUUUUUAAGAAAAGUCUUCACAUGUAAUCUCUGAUAAGACAAUGGGCUUACAGAAAGAUUUUAUGGUAGCUGGAAGGCAAUCAAAGAGAGCGGUGGUGAGGUAUAAGAUCUCAUCAGAAAUUACAACUUUGAGGGAAGAUUCUGGGGAAACAAGUAAGCACUAACAACGACUGAAAUACAUAACUAGGGGAAUGUGCUGCCACUACCUCAAUCCUUCGGAAGAAUCAUAGAAUCACAAGGUUGGAAAGGACCUACAAGAUCAUCUAGUCCAACCAUCCUCCCAUUACCAUUGCUACCACGAGCUACUAAACCAUAUCUCGUAGCUUCUCAUCCAGACAGAAGUAAGAAUAUCAAAUCUUUUUGGCAGCUCUGCAUCACUGCUUUAGAUUUUCCUUGGUUUCAUCUCAAUUUUAUUCAAAUAAAAUAGAAAAAUUCCUGCNNNNNNNNNNNNNN
ensembl:lncRNA